AUUAGCACAAAAUACAAUAUCAAUAACUAUCUAAAACUAAAACCAAACAAACCAAAAAAAUUAUAAGUUGCGCUAAAUGGUCCUUACUCAGCUAGGUGUCACGGUAUGCGCCACAUGGCACACUCCGCAACGCUGGUUUUCUGUAAGGCCUAGAAGAUGGACUAGGUGGCACUAAGUAAAUGGACUAUGUACAAUUUAGACGACACUAAGAAACUAAAUAACAUAAAAAUCUUAGAAUGUUUGUGGUGUAA